rnacentral:rRNA from 1 species
ACGGGUGAGUAACGCGUGGGAACGUACCUUUUGGUUCGGAACAACUGAGGGAAACUUCAGCUAAUACCGGAUAAGCCCUUACGGGGAAAGAUUUAUCGCCGAAAGAUCGGCCCGCGUCUGAUUAGCUAGUUGGUGAGGUAAUGGCUCACCAAGGCGACGAUCAGUAGCUGGUCUGAGAGGAUGAUCAGCCACAUUGGGACUGAGACACGGCCCAAACUCCUACGGGAGGCAGCAGUGGGGAAUAUUGGACAAUGGGCGAAAGCCUGAUCCAGCCAUGCCGCGUGAGUGAUGAAGGCCCUAGGGUUGUAAAGCUCUUUUGUGCGGGAAGAUAAUGACGGUACCGCAAGAAUAAGCCCCGGCUAACUUCGUGCCAGCAGCCGCGGUAAUACGAAGGGGGCUAGCGUUGCUCGGAAUCACUGGGCGUAAUGGGUGCGUAGGCGGGUUCUUAAGUCAGAGGUGAAAUCCUGGAGCUCAACUCCAGAACUGCCUUUGAUACUGAGAGUCUUGAGUAUGACAGAGGUGAGUGGAACUGCGAGUGUAGAGGUGAAAUUCGUAGA